CUGGAAAUCAAGUUAGAAAGCAACGUGUUAGCGUCGAAUAAUUUCAUUGAACUCUGUACGAUGAGCUUUCCAAUAUCAAGCUGGAUUGUGUCCCGUUUGAAAAUCCGAUUGGCUAUUCCCGGUUCGUUAUCUGAUUUGUCCUGUUAUUUUGCGAAGGAAAUGGAAAGAGAAGCAAGGCAGACAGAACAGAGCGUUUUUUGUGUCCGAUGGAAAACUCUGUUGCGAUCAAUCGGCCCGCAUCGUUCUACGGGGACAUCGAGAGUGAGGUCUCUAACGUCGUUUUAACGACGCUGC
rnacentral:misc_RNA from 1 species